rnacentral:rRNA from 1 species
GGAGUUAGCCGGUGCUUCUUCUGUGAGUGAUGUCCUUCCUGCCGGCUAUUAACCCGCAGGCCUUCUUCCUCACUGAAAGUGCUUUACAACCCGAAGGCCUUCUUCACACACGCGGCAUGGCUGGAUCAGGGUUGCCCCCAUUGUCCAAUAUUCCCCACUGCUGCCUCCCGUAGGAGUCUGGGCCGUGUCUCAGUCCCAGUGUGGCUGAUCAUCCUCUCAGACCAGCUACGGAUCGUCGCCUUGGUGAGCCGUUACCUCACCAACCAUCUAAUCCGACAUAGGCUCAUCCGAUAGCGCGAGGCCCGAAGGUCCCCCGCUUUCCCCCGUAGGGCGUAUGCGGUAUUAGCCUGGGUUUCCCCAGGUUAUCCCCCACUACCGGGCAGAUUCCUAUGCAUUACUCACCCGUCCGCCGCUCGCCACCAGGGAGCAAGCUCCCCGUGCUGCCGCUCGACUUGCAUGUGUUAGGCCUGCCGCCAGCGUUCAAUCUGAGCCAUAAUCAAACUCUGA